GGGAUUGCCUCAGUAACGGCGAGUGAAGCGGCAACAGCUCAAAUUUGAAAUCUGGCCCCUUCGGGGUCCGAGUUGUAAUUUGUAGAGAGUGUUUCGGGUGAGGUCACGGUCUAAGUCCAUUGGAACAUGGCGUCAUAGAGGGUGAGAAUCCCGUAUGUGACCGUGAAUCGAGCCCAUGUGAAGCCUCUUCGACGAGUCGAGUUGUUUGGGAAUGCAGCUCAAAAUGGGUGGUAAAUUUCAUCUAAAGCUAAAUACUGGCUGGAGACCGAUAGCGCACAAGUAGAGUGAUCGAAAGAUGAAAAGCACUUUGGAAAGAGAGUGAAACAGUACGUGAAAUUGUUGAAAGGGAAGCGCUUGCAACCAGACCUGCCCGUAGGCGAUCAGCCGCUGUUCUCAGUGGUGCACUCGCUCUGCGAUCAGGCCAGCAUCGGUUUCGGCGGUCGGAUAAAGGCCUUGGGAAUGUAGCUUCCUUUCGGGGGAGUCUUAUAGCCCUCGGCGCAAUGCGGCCAGCCGGGACCGAGGACCGCGCUUCGGCUAGGAUGCUGGCGUAAUGGUUGUAAGCGACCCGUCUUGAAACACGGACCAAGGAGUCUAACAUCUAUGCGAGUGUUUGGGUGUUAAACCCAUACGCGGAAUGAAAGUGAACGGAGGUGAGAACCCUGAAGGGCGCAUCAUCGACCGAUCCAGAUGUCUUCGGAUGGAUUUGAGUAUGAGCAUAGCUGUUGGGACCCGAAAGGUAUGUUCAGACUCCCCAUUGUAAUUAGAUUACUUGCUAACUUGUUCGAUAGAUGGUGAACUAUGCCUGAAUAGGGUGAAGCCAGAGGAAACUCUGGUGGAGGCUCGCAGCGGUUCUGACGUGCAAAUCGAUCGUCAAAUUUGGGUAUAGGGGUACGUAUUCGGUUCCAGAGAUACCCAGAUUCAAUGCUAACUCUAAUAUAGGCGAAAGACUAAUCG
rnacentral:rRNA from 1 species